rnacentral:rRNA from 1 species
AUGUGUGGUGGCUUUCCACUUUCCGAUAUAUUUUUUCUGAGUGGAACGUUGAAUAUAAUAAGGAACAUAGAAACGGGGUAUAUUUGCAUUGUUAAAUAUUUAUAUUUGACAAAUUUGUUUGGUUGUAUGGUUUGGAAGGUAGUAACUGGGAAAUUAAAUGGACUUGCUUACAUGCCAGCCUAUAUACCUGCAUACAUUUUAGCCAAGUUCAUAGCAGCGCAACACACAAGGUCUUUUACUCGUGAAGGGACACUGGUGAGCUGUGAGCGCAAUCAUUUUAUAAGGGGAUUAAAUAUUUUAUGUUGUAAUGUAAGCACCACUUGA